GUUUGCUCCUGGAGAUAGCAGUGAGAUGUGGCAGAAACAACAUUUGAAGCUUAGACUGGAGUGGAUCCUAAGGAGUCAUGGUAUGUAUGUACCAGUGGAAUAUCAGCCCUGCCCCAAAAGGGCUUGUGAAAAUGAGGAUGUCAUUUUUCUUCAUCUAAGUUCAUAGAUCACAGACUUCCUGGGGACCCCAAGUUAAGAAACUCUUCUGGAGAGAGCAGUUGUAUCCAGUGCUCAAGGGCAUAGUAACUUGGAUGUCUAGACUGCCCCUUCCCUACCUGCAGCCGCACAGAUGGUACCUCUCUCUGGAAGCAUAUUCCCUAAAGAACCAAGCCUUCUCAGGACAUCAUAUUCUGCCAGAAUGCACCUAUUUCUCAAAGUCCAUUUGUAAACAAAAACCAAUUUGUCAAAAUAAUUCAUAAUGUAGUAACUAAUGACAGAGCA
rnacentral:lncRNA from 1 species